UUGCACUGAUUUCAACAAUGAAGCGAGUGGCGAACUGGUGAGUAACACGUGGGGAAUCUGCCCAGAAGCAGGGGAUAACACUUGGAAACAGGUGCUAAUACCGUAUAACAACAAAAUCCGCAUGGAUUUUGUUUGAAAGGUGGCUUCGGCUAUCACUUCUGGAUGAUCCCGCGGCGUAUUAGUUAGUUGGUGAGGUAAAGGCCCACCAAGACGAUGAUACGUAGCCGACCUGAGAGGGUAAUCGGCCACAUUGGGACUGAGACACGGCCCAAACUCC
rnacentral:rRNA from 1 species